rnacentral:rRNA from 1 species
UACAGAGGGUGCUAGCGUUGUUCGGAUUUACUGGGCGUAAAGCGCACGUAGGCGGACUUUUAAGUCAGGGGUGAAAUCCCAGAGCUCAACUCUGGAACUGCCUUUGAUACUGGAAGUCUUGAGUAUGGAAGAGGUUGGUGGAACUGCGAGUGUAGAGGUGAAAUUCGUAGAUAUUCGCAAGAACACCAGUGGCGAAGGCGGCUCACUGGCCCGGUACUGACGCUGAGGUGCGAAAGCGUGGGGAGCAAACAGG